GAGCUCACCUGGUAGAGCAAGGCAUUAACACUGCCAGGGUUAGAGGUUCGAUUCCCUGUUGAGCUCA